GAUGAACGCUGGCGGCGUGCCUAAUACAUGCAAGUCGAGCGAACGGACGAGAAGCUUGCUUCCCUGCUGUUAGCGGCGGACGGGUGAGUAACACGUGGAUCACAUACCUAUUAGUCUGGGAUAAUUUCGGGAAACCGGUGCUAAUACCGGCUGAUACUUUGAACCGCAUGGUUCAAAAGUGCUUGACGGUUUUGCUGUCACUUAUAGAUGGAUCCGCGCUGAUUUAGUUACUUGGUAAGGUAACGCCUUACCAAGGGAACGAUGCAUAGCCGACCUGAGAGAGUAAUCGGCCACACGGAAACGGAGACACGGUCCAGACUCCAACGGGAGGCAGCGGUGGGGAAUCUGGCGCAAUGGGAGAAAGCCGGACGGAGCAACGCCGCGGGGGGAAGGAGGGUCUUCGGUUCGAAAAACUCUGUUAUUGGAGAAGAACGUAGGUGUAAGUAACUGUGCACAUCUGAACGGUACCAAAGCAGAAAGCCACGGCUAACUACGU
rnacentral:rRNA from 1 species